rnacentral:rRNA from 1 species
CAGCAGCCGCGGUAAUACAGAGGAUGCAAGCGUUAUCCGGAAUGAUUGGGCGUAAAGGGCUCGCAGGCGGUUUCUUAAGUCUGAUGUGAAAGCCCCCGGCUCAACCGGGGAGGGUCAUUGGAAACUGGGAAACUUGAGUGCAGAAGAGGAGAGUGGAAUUCCACGUGUAGCGGUGAAAUGCGUAGAGAUGUGGAGGAACACCAGUGGCGAAGGCGACUCUCUGGUCUGUAACUGACGCUGAGGAGCGAAAGCGUGGGGAGCGAACAGGAUUAGAACCCGAGUAGUCCCUGUCUCUUAUACC